AUUUGGAGAGGAUGUUUCUGGCGCGGCGCCUACCGGAGUUCCUUGGAACAGGACGCCACAGAGGGUGAGAGCCCCGUACGGUUGGCCGCCUAGCCUGCACGAAACUCCUUCGACGAGUCGAGUAGUUUGGGAAUGCUGCUCAAAAUGGGAGGUAAAUUUCUUCUAAAGCUAAAUACCGGCCAGAGACCGAUAGCGCACAAGUAGAGUGAUCGAAAGAUGAAAAGCACCUUGAAAAGAGGGUUAAACAGUACGUGAAAUUGUUGAAAGGGAAGCGCCUGCGACCAGACUCGCGCCCCGCGGACCAGCCGGCGUUCUCGCCGGUGCACUCCGCGGGGUGCGGGCCAGCAUCGGUUCUCCCUGGGGGAGAAAGGCUGCGGGAAUGUAGCUCCUUCGGGAGUGUUAUAGCCCGUGGCGCCAUGCCCCAGGGGGGACCGAGGACCGCGCUUCGGCAAGGAUGCUGGCGUAAUGGUCGUCGGCGACCCGUCUUGAAACACGGACCAAGGAGUCAAGCAUUGGGGCGAGUGUCUGGGUGCCAAACCCGCACGCGAAAUGAAAGUGAACGCAGGUGAGAGCUUCGGCGCAUCACCGACCGAUCCUGAUGUCUUCGGAUGGAUUUGAGUAAGAGCCCCACCGCUUGGACCCGAAAGAUGGUGAACUAUGCCUGUAUAGGGUGAAGCCAGAGGAAACUCUGGUGGAGG
rnacentral:rRNA from 1 species